AAACAAGAACCCAACACAAACAGAACAUGAUAGAUACAAAAUUGGGAGAAAAAUUGCACCUAAUAUAAUAUUAGUUGAAAAAAUCAUAGUUAAAUAGCCAACACCUAAAAACAGUGUCUUCUAACUUGAAUCAAUUUUGCAAAUUAAAUUUUCUAAGCAUAUAAUGUAAGCAUACCUUAAUAACGACGGUUUGAGUUGUGACAGCACAACACGAACCUGUUGUGACGAGCACGGCGACAAACGAGUACGACUUGUGAAAGAUUAUUUAUUGGGUAUAUGGUGGAGAGAAGAUGAUUUAUGGGUUAUGGGUUCGGGAUUCGAUUGCAGAAUUCGAUUGCAGGAAGAUGAGUUCGAUUCCUUAGGGUUUGAAGGAAUUCAAUUGAAGAAGAUGAUUUUGUUUCCUUUGGAUAUUAGGGUUUAUAGAUGAGAUCGUGGAUUUGAAGAUCGUGGAUUUGAUGAUUUUUGCAGCUAGGAAGGAACGGGAAAACGAAAUCAUUUACUGCGCUGAAGUUUUGAAAUGUGUUUUGAUUUUAUUUUUUUAUAAUUUCGGUUUUUAUUUUUAUUUUUUUUAAACCAAAAAAAAAAGGUUCAAGGGGUCAAGGGUUCGACACCCACCCACAACACUUUUUAAUUAAUUUUCCAGCGGGAGUUAUAAGCUUUAAUAUCGUUUUUUUAAAAAGCGUUAUUAUAAUGCUAUGCGUUUUAGGUUUUAAUAGCGGUU
rnacentral:lncRNA from 1 species